rnacentral:misc_RNA from 1 species
UUUCCGUAGGUGAACCUGCGGAAGGAUCAUUACAGAGUUCAUGCCCUCACGGGUAGAUCUCCCACCCUUGAAUAUUUAUACCUUAGUUGAUUUGGCAGGCCGUGGAAACACCAUGGGCUCCGGCUUAUGCGUGCCUGCCAGAGGAAACAAACUCUGUUUUUAGUGAUGUCUGAGUACUAUAUAAUAGUUAAAACUUUCAACAACGGAUCUCUUGGUUCUG